CCUACGGGUGGCUGCAGUGGGGAAUAUUGCGCAAUGGGCGAAAGCCUGACGCAGCGACGCCGCGUGAGGGAUGAAGGUCUUCGGAUUGUAAACCUCUGUCAGCAGGGAAGAACGGUCACUGUGCUAAUCAGCAGUGAAUUGACGGUACCUGCAAAGGAAGCACCGGCUAACUCCGUGCCAGCAGCCGCGGUAAUACGGAGGGUGCGAGCGUUAAUGGGAAUUACUGGGCGUAAAGCGCUCGUAGGCGGUAUGUCAAGUCAAGGGUGAAAUCCCCGCGCUCAACGUGGGAACUGCCUUUGAAACUGGCAGACUGGAGUGUGUGAGAGGUUAGUGGAAUUCCAGGUGUAGGGGUGAAAUGCGUAGAUAUCAGGAGGAACAUCAGUGGCGAAGGCGACUAUCUGGCACAUAACUGACGCUGAGGAGCGAAAGCGUGGGUAGCAAACAGGAUUAGAUACCCUGGUAGUC
rnacentral:rRNA from 1 species